rnacentral:rRNA from 1 species
CAUGUAUCAGAUAUUAAACUGACAAGAACAGAUACUACACUUGAUCUUAGCCAAAAGGCCGAGAAAGGUAUACUCUAAAUCGUGCCCUUGACUCUCUUUUUAUUUCUUCCUGAACCGCCUUAGGUAUCUGGGCACGCGAUGUGGGAUUAA